rnacentral:rRNA from 1 species
AUAUCAAUAAGCGGAGGAAAAGAAACCAACAGGGAUUGCCCUAGUAACGGCGAGUGAAGCGGCAACAGCUCAAAUUUGAAAUCUGGCCCCCCGGCCCGAGUUGUAAUUUGCAGAGGAUGCUUCUGGUGAGGCACCUACCGAGUCCCCUGGAAUGGGGCGCCACAGAGGGUGAGAGCCCCGUAUGGUCGGACGCCGAACCUCUGUGAAGCUCCUUCGACGAGUCGAGUAGUUUGGGAAUGCUGCUCUAAAUGGGAGGUAAAUUUCUUCUAAAGCUAAAUACCGGCCAGAGACCGAUAGCGCACAAGUAGAGUGAUCGAAAGAUGAAAAGCACUUUGAAAAGAGAGUUAAAAAGCACGUGAAAUUGUUGAAAGGGAAGCGCUUGUGACCAGACUCGGGCUCGGGGGAUCAUCCGCCGUUCUCGCUGGUGCACUCCGUCGGGCUCGGGCCAGCAUCGGUUUUCCUCGGGGGACAAAGGCUUCGGGAACGUGGCUCCCUUCGGGGAGUGUUAUAGCCUGGUGCGUCAUGCUCCGGCGGGGACCGAGGACCGCGCUUCGGCAUGAUGCUGGCGUAAUGGUCAUCAGCGACCCGUCUUGAAACACGGACCGAGGAGUCAAGCAUUAGUGCGAGUGUUUGGGUGUAAAACCCGCACGCGCAAUGAAAGUGAACGUAGGUGAGAGCUUCGGCGCAUCAUCGACCGAUCCUGAUGUUUUCGGAUGGAUUUGAGUAGGAGCAUUAACGCUUGGACCCGAAAGAUGGUGAACUAUGCUUGAAUAGGGUGAAGCCAGAGGAAACUCUGGUGGAGGCUCGCAGCGGUUCUGACGUGCAAAUCGAUCGUCAAAUUUGGGCAUAGGGGCGAAAGACUAAUCGAACCAUCUAGUAGCUGGUUACCGCCGAAGUUUCCCUCAGGAUAGCAGUGUUGUUCUUCAGUUUUAUGAGGUAAAGCGAAUGAUUAGGGACUCGGGGGCG